CCUACGGGAGGCAGCAGUGAGGAAUAUUGGUCAAUGGGCGGAAGCCUGAACCAGCCAAGUCGCGUGAGGGAAUAAGGCCCUACGGGUCGUAAACCUCUUUUGCCGGGGAGCAAGGGCGGGGACGUGUCCCGGCCCGGAGAGUACCCGGAGAAAAAGCAUCGGCUAACUCCGUGCCAGCAGCCGCGGUAAUACGGAGGAUGCGAGCGUUAUCCGGAUUUAUUGGGUUUAAAGGGUGCGUAGGCGGGCUUUUAAGUCAGCGGUAAAAAUUCGGGGCUCAACCCCGUCCGGCCGUUGAAACUGGGGGCCUUGAGUGGGCGAGAAGAAGGCGGAAUGCGUGGUGUAGCGGUGAAAUGCAUAGAUAUCACGCAGAACCCCGAUUGCGAAGGCAGCCUUCCGGCGCCCUACUGACGCUGAGGCACGAAAGUGCGGGGAUCGAACAGGAUUAGAUACCCCAGUAGUC
rnacentral:rRNA from 1 species